UCCACUCGCGGGCAAGGGCAGCCCAGGGGCCCCAUGUGACCUUGCGCCUCGCCCCCAAAGAUCCCUGCGGGUUGGGGCUUUGGGAGGCUAGGUUGCCACGGUCAGGGACCGAGGAGGGUGACCCGGUGAGGGGCGCAGAUGAAGCACUGCCCUCUGGGGCCGGGCCAGGCACGGUUAUUUAUAACCACGGGUCGCCUUACCUCCUGACCUUCAGCUGGGGCCCGGCGAGCCGCAGCGAUUAGCAUCUCCUGCCGCCCAUUAUGAACAAACACCCCUGUGUGCCCGCCCCGGGCCCUGCAGGAAGCAGGAUGUUGGCCGGAGCUGGUGCCCCGUGGCUCCCUCAGGUGAACCCGCCACGUGUGUCUUUACAGCAUGCGACAGAGCAGGGGGAGCGGAAGUUCCUGGAGUCUACAAGCUUCCCCACCACUGCCUCCGUCAUCGCAUUCCAGAACCCAGAACCAAAGGCCACCUCCUGAGUCCACUGGUCCCAUCCACUGGCCUUUAGGGGCAGGUCCACCUGGUUUUGCUCUGCUGUUGGCACGCCUGGGAAACUGCCCACCUCCUCCCAAGCGCCCCAUGCUCCUGCCUUCCCAGGGGCGCUGAGGCUGUGGACCAUCCCACCUCCGACAUCUUCUGUGAGGGCUCCUUGGCUGGCCAGGGGCGUCCUGCCCAAGGUGAUGCCAGAGAGGCCCCAUGGAGAAUCUCUCUGAAGGCUCACCUGUCAUCCUAAAGUAGACUCUUCCCAGGUUCAAGAAGGAAAAGAUAGACACUCCAGGGAAGCACGGCACCCAGAGAACUCAACAAUUUCUGUCUUCUUUUUAUUUAAAAAAAUAAUUUUUUAAGUGUUUACUUAUAUUUGAGAGAGACACACACACAGGUCCCAGGUAACCUCCCCAACAUAGAAACGUAGACUGCCUACAAAAUAAAAAGCCUGUGUCCACAGAAGCAGAACAGGCCAACAACAGGUGGCAAAAGGCAGCAGCUGAAAGUUCGCUCUGGGACCUGUCCCUCACCUGGGCUAGCCAAAGGGGGCCUGCACAGGAUGAAAUGAACUCUUCGAUGCGAAAGAGAAUAUGGGUCUCCUCCGCUGUUGAAUUUUCACGGAACACCCCUUGUCCUUAAAUUGGGGAGGGCAGAGCAACAGAGAAAGGUAUUCACCGAAAGGUCCGAUGUAGGCCCAUGUUACCUGUGCUUCGUAACCCACUUCUUUUAGGACAGACAACGUCUAGAACACUGCUGGACUGGAAAUAAGAAUAUGCUGCAUUGGGGCA